GACGAACGCUGGCGGCGUGCUUAACACAUGCAAGUCGAACGGAAAGGCCCUGCUUUUGUGGGGUGCUCGAGUGGCGAACGGGUGAGUAACACGUGAGUAACCUGCCCUUGACUUUGGGAUAACUUCAGGAAACUGGGGCUAAUAUCGGAUAGGAGCUCCUGCUGCAUGGUGGGGGUUGGAAAGUUUCGGCGGUUGGGGAUGGACUCGCGGCUUAUCAGCUUGUUGGUGGGGUAGUGGCUUACCAAGGCUUUGACGGGUAGCCGGCCUGAGAGGGUGAACGGCCACAUUGGGACUGCGGUACGGCCCAGACUCCUACGGGAGGCAGCAGUGGGGAAUAUUGCACAAUGGGCGGAAGCCUGAUGCAGCAACGCCGCGUGCGGGAUGACGGCCUUCGGGUUGUAAACCGCUUUCGCCUGUGACGAAGCGUGAGUGACGGUAAUGGGUAAAGAAGCACCGGCUAACUACGUG
rnacentral:rRNA from 1 species